ensembl:lncRNA
GGCAGAAGGUUCCGAUGGAAGAAAAGAAAAAAGCUGAUGCUUUCUUCAAACUGAUAGGGAUUAUAGGUGGAAGGCAGGUGGGCCCGCGUAGGGAGGCCAAAGAGCUAAUAGAAAGAAUAGUAAGCCCUGCAGAAGUCUCCAAAAGAAAGGCUGCCUAUAUCAGGGCAAGCUCUUUUAAAAAAUUAUUUGGAAAAUAAAAUUUUAUAUUUCAUGAGGUCUGUCUUCAUGAUACAGACCAUUCCUAAAUAUCAGAAAGUCCUGUUGAAUCAACUGAAAGACAUUAUUUGCAUUGAAAUGUGAUCAUGGCUUUGCUAUCACCAUCUUGAUGUUUUACAUCUUUGUGAACUCAGGAAAAUUUUGAGAUGACUAAAGAAUGUGCAGGAUCCCUCUCAAGCUUCCUGCCCUGCCAGAAGGCUCACCAUAGUGCCUGGAACCACCUGCACAGUCACUCUGCCUCUCAACCUGAAGAGAUGAUUUAUCCACCCAACUCCUUCAACCAGCUCCAUUAAGAUCCAGUUUUGAAUUCUUUCCUCCCAAGGACAUGUGAAGAUCUUGCCUCACCAGAAGAGAUCCAAAUC